UGGAGUUGAGCAUGUUGAGGUCAAUUUUUAUAUUCGCGGACCACAUGGAGCUGGCAAGGUUUAUGCAGAGAUGUUUCAAGACAAGGUGGAUAAGCAGUGGAAGUUCACAUACUUGAUCGUUGAGAUCAAAUCACCUUCCCCAGCUCAACUGAUGCUCGAGUCGUAUGUACCUGCCUGAAUAUCAACACAAGUACAUUAUAUGUUCUGUCCUGCUGCUAUAAUCGUGUGGAUGCAGUCGAUAUCCUCUAAACUUUUUUUUCCAACUCCCCUGAGAGCUCUCAAGAUGACAGUUCUG
rnacentral:misc_RNA from 1 species